GAACACACUGCGAUACACACAGUGUGUCAUGAUGCGCAGGCGCGAGUUCUCUCGGCCAGGCUGAGAACACGGCUGCUGUAUCUAGCGAACUCUCACGUGAUGCGGGAUGUCAUGGACGUCAAGUUGUUACGCGUUCGACACGCCCCGGAAGAAGCCGAUCUUGGUGAAACAUCGGGCCACGGCGGUCUGGUCUCACACUCUCUUACCCUUUCCACUAGAUCUUACUCAGAAAAGAUCCUUGGGUUCCUCAACAUGCUCUUGGAGGAUUUCUUGUCAUUCACUGAGGCAUACAAGGCCUCCCCAUAUCACUCUUCAACCAGAAUAUUGAACCCUUCUUGUUUCAAAAGGGAAUGACUUUACACCCUAUAGUAGAAGUGGACUGAAGCUGAACUGAAUCAACAAUGUCCAAAGUCAGAGUGAACAAAAAAGGGCCAUAUGUUGUCAAGUCAAUGUAGACUAUAAAGAUAAGGUACUCUACUUGAUUUCAGCCUACAGUCCAAAGGUUGACCUCUCCAAGAUUUAGGCUGCUACAUGAGGAUAAGCAGAGGACAAGAGACCAAGCCUCUGUUUUCCUUAAGAAACCUGAGCUGUCAAGACAAACUCCACAGUUGAUCUCAGCAAAAAGGACGCUCCGGCAACCAAUUUUAAAUGAGGAAAAUCUAGAAUACAAUGUAAAGUAUUGGUCACAGUGAUCUUCAACCAGCGGACCUCCAGAUGUUGCAAAACUACAACUCCUGGAAUGCCCGGACAGCCGUUGGCGUCAUAUAUUUGCAAAGAUUAACAACACAGCAAAAACAUUUAACCCAGGACAAUCCUCGGGCGUAUGAACAUGUAUAUUCCAGGAAAAAGACAGAAAUGCAACUGAGAGAACAUUUGAGCCAAAAGCCCAACUUUCACGCAUGGUAAAGAGACAAUGAAAUAUAAACCCUCCCCCCUCCAAACAAGGUCCGUUAAAGUACUGAAUGUAUAAAAAAGGGAAGGACAAAAAAAAGACAUGGAAAGCCAAGAUGACAGCUUAAAUCUGUUAGUAAUUAAAAAGCAAUCCAACCCCUUGUCAGUACAAAUUAAUAUCCCAAUUGAUGGCUACAAAAAGGACUAAUUGCCGAGGUGUCACACAAGACACAUCUCAUGAUUUGUGGGAAAUGUGUUUUUUUUUAUAAAGACACGUUAUUAAAAGUUAUAGUUUAAGCACUAUCCGUUUUGUAUAAUUUUUCUGAUAUGUGGGAUAAGCAAAGAACCGCCUCAAGAGCUUUACAAUCUAAUUAUUGCAAUACAUAACAAUGACGUUGGUUACAGGCGCAUUUCUAAGUUUCCACUGAGCACUAUUGGGGCCAUUAUACAGAAGUGGAAAGACAAUGAUUUCCCCAUAAAUUUGCAUUGACCAGGUGCUCCUCACAAGGUUUCUGAGGAGUGAGAAGAAUCAUCAGAAGAGUUAUCCAAAAGCCAAGGACACUUGUGGAGAGUUUCAAAAAGACCUGGAAUUUUCAGGUACUGUUGUCUUAAAGAAAACAGUAAGUAAUGCAUUACCUGUAUGC